GCCAAUGUGUCGUAGUGGUUGGAGAGUUGGGCUACAACUCUAGAGACUAGGGUUCAAGUCCCCACUCUGGCA